rnacentral:rRNA from 1 species
GACGAACGCUGGCGGCGUGCCUAAUACAUGCAAGUCGAGCGAGUCUGCCUUGAAGAUCGGAGUGCUUGCACUCUGUGAAACAAGAUACAGGCUAGCGGCGGACGGGUUAGUAACACGUGGGUAACCUGCCCAAGAGAUCGGGAUAACACCUGGAAACAGAUGCUAAUACCGGAUAACAACAGAUGAUGCCUAUCAACUGUUUAAAAGAUGGUUCUGCUAUCACUCUUGGAUGGACCUGCGGUGCAUUAGCUAGUUGGUAGGGUAACGGCCUACCAAGGCGAUGAUCCAUAGCCGGGUUGAGAGCAUGAUCGGCCACAUUGGAACUGAGACACGGCCCAAACUCCUACGGGAGGCAGCAGUGGGGAAUCUUCCACAAUGGACGCAAGUCUGAUGGAGCAACGCCGCGUGAGUGAAGAAGGGUUUCGGCUCGUAAAGCUCUGUUGUUGGUGAAGAAGGACAGGGGUAGUAACUGACCUUUGUUUGACGGUAAUCAAUUAGAAAGUCACGGCUAACUACGUG